rnacentral:rRNA from 1 species
UACGUAGGGUGCGAGCGUUAAUCGGAAUUACUGGGCGUAAAGCGUGCGCAGGCGGUUGUGCAAGACAGAUGUGAAAUCCCCGGGCUUAACCUGGGAACUGCAUUUGUGACUGCACAGCUGGAGUGCGGCAGAGGGGGAUGGAAUUCCGCGUGUAGCAGUGAAAUGCGUAGAUAUGCGGAGGAACACCGAUGGCGAAGGCAAUCCCCUGGGCCUGUACUGACGCUCAUGCACGAAAGCGUGGGGAGCAAACAGG